rnacentral:antisense_RNA from 1 species
UGUGGGAGCUGGCUUGCCUGCGAUGCAGACACCUCGGUCUGGCAGUAAGACCCCGGUGAUGCCAUCGCAGGCAAGCCAGCUCCCACA